UUAACCGUGCAAAGGUAGCGUAAUCACUUGUCUUCUAAAUAGAGACCUGUAUGAAAGGCUAAACGAGGGCUUAACUGUCUCCCAUUUCAAGUCAGUGAAAUUAAUCUACCCGUGCAGAAGCGGGUAUUAACAUACAAGACGAGAAGACCCUUUGGAGCUUAAGGUAAAAAUUCAACCACGUCAAGCAACUCCAAACAAGUUUUUAAACUUUGUGGAAUAUGAAAUUAUACCUUCGGUUGGGGCGACCAUGGAGGAAAACAAAGCCUCCAAGUGGUAUAGGGUAAACCCCUUGAACCUAGAGAGACAUCUCCAAGCCACAGAACAUCUGACCAUAAAUGAUCCGGUCAACAUAGACCGAUAAACGAACUAAGUUACCCUAGGGAUAACAGCGCAAUCCUCUCCCAGAGUCCAUAUCGACGAGAGGGUUUACGACCUCGAUGUUGGAUCAGGACAUCCUAAUGGUGCAAUUU
rnacentral:rRNA from 1 species